GGGAGCUUGCUCCCGGAUGUUAGCGGCGGACGGGUGAGUAACACGUGGGUAACCUGCCUGUAAGACUGGGAUAACUCCGGGAAACCGGAGCUAAUACCGGAUAGUUCCUUGAACCGCAUGGUUCAAGGAUGAAAGACGGUUUCGGCUGUCACUUACAGAUGGACCCGCGGCGCAUUAGCUAGUUGGUGGGGUAAUGGCUCACCAAGGCGACGAUGCGUAGCCGACCUGAGAGGGUGAUCGGCCACACUGGGACUGAGACACGGCCCAGACUCCUACGGGAGGCAGCAGUAGGGAAUCUUCCGCAAUGGACGAAAGUCUGACGGAGCAACGCCGCGUGAGUGAUGAAGGUUUUCGGAUCGUAAAGCUCUGUUGUUAGGGAAGAACAAGUGCGAGAGUAACUGCUCGCACCUUGACGGUACCUAACCAGAAAGCCACGGCUAACUACGUGCCAGCAGCCGCGGUAAUACGUAGGUGGCAAGCGUUGUCCGGAAUUAUUGGGCGUAAAGGGCUCGCAGGCGGUUUCUUAAGUCUGAUGUGAAAGCCCCCGGCUCAACCGGGGAGGGUCAUUGGAAACUGGGAAACUUGAGUGCAGAAGAGGAGAGUGGAAUUCCACGUGUAGCGGUGAAAUGCGUAGAGAUGUGGAGGAACACCAGUGGCGAAGGCGACUCUCUGGUCUGUAACUGACGCUGAGGAGCGAAAGCGUGGGGAGCGAACAGGAUUAGAUACCCUGGUAGUCCACG
rnacentral:rRNA from 1 species